rnacentral:rRNA from 1 species
UUGAAGAGUUUGAUCAUGGCUCAGAUUGAACGCUGGCGGCAGGCCUAACACAUGCAAGUCGAACGGUAACAGGAAGCAGCUUGCUGCUUCGCUGACGAGUGGCGGACGGGUGAGUAAUGUCUGGGAAACUGCCUGAUGGAGGGGGAUAACUACUGGAAACGGUAGCUAAUACCGCAUAAUGUCGCAAGACCAAAGAGGGGGACCUUCGGGCCUCUUGCCAUCGGAUGUGCCCAGAUGGGAUUAGCUUGUUGGUGGGGUAACGGCUCACCAAGGCGACGAUCCCUAGCUGGUCUGAGAGGAUGACCAGCCACACUGGAACUGAGACACGGUCCAGACUCCUACGGGAGGCAGCAGUGGGGAAUAUUGCACAAUGGGCGCAAGCCUGAUGCAGCCAUGCCGCGUGUAUGAAGAAGGCCUUCGGGUUGUAAAGUACUUUCAGCGGGGAGGAAGGGAGUAAAGUUAAUACCUUUGCUCAUUGACGUUACCCGCAGAAGAAGCACCGGCUAACUCCGUGCCAGCAGCCGCGGUAAUACGGAGGGUGCAAGCGUUAAUCGGAAUUACUGGGCGUAAAGCGCACGCAGGCGGUUUGUUAAGUCAGAUGUGAAAUCCCCGGGCUCAACCUGGGAACUGCAUCUGAUACUGGCAAGCUUGAGUCUCGUAGAGGGGGGUAGAAUUCCAGGUGUAGCGGUGAAAUGCGUAGAGAUCUGGAGGAAUACCGGUGGCGAAGGCGGCCCCCUGGACGAAGACUGACGCUCAGGUGCGAAAGCGUGGGGAGCAAACAGGAUUAGAUACCCUGGUAGUCCACGCCGUAAACGAUGUCGACUUGGAGGUUGUGCCCUUGAGGCGUGGCUUCCGGAGCUAACGCGUUAAGUCGACCGCCUGGGGAGUACGGCCGCAAGGUUAAAACUCAAAUGAAUUGACGGGGGCCCGCACAAGCGGUGGAGCAUGUGGUUUAAUUCGAUGCAACGCGAAGAACCUUACCUGGUCUUGACAUCCACGGAAGUUUUCAGAGAUGAGAAUGUGCCUUCGGGAACCGUGAGACAGGUGCUGCAUGGCUGUCGUCAGCUCGUGUUGUGAAAUGUUGGGUUAAGUCCCGCAACGAGCGCAACCCUUAUCCUUUGUUGCCAGCGGUCCGGCCGGGAACUCAAAGGAGACUGCCAGUGAUAAACUGGAGGAAGGUGGGGAUGACGUCAAGUCAUCAUGGCCCUUACGACCAGGGCUACACACGUGCUACAAUGGCGCAUACAAAGAGAAGCGACCUCGCGAGAGCAAGCGGACCUCAUAAAGUGCGUCGUAGUCCGGAUUGGAGUCUGCAACUCGACUCCAUGAAGUCGGAAUCGCUAGUAAUCGUGGAUCAGAAUGCCACGGUGAAUACGUUCCCGGGCCUUGUACACACCGCCCGUCACACCAUGGGAGUGGGUUGCAAAAGAAGUAGGUAGCUUAACCUUCGGGAGGGCGCUUACCACUUUGUGAUUCAUGACUGGGGUGAAGUCGUAACAAGGUAACCGUAGGGGAACCUGCGGUUGGAUCACCUCCUU